rnacentral:rRNA from 1 species
UUGCAAUACACGMAAGUGUGACAGGGYCAUCCCGAGUGCCGACCGCUGAGGWUGGCUUUUACCCAGUCUAGAAAGCUGGGGGAAUAAGGAGAGGGCAAGUCUGGUGUCAGCCGCCGCGGUAAUACCAGCUCUCCGAGUGGUGUGGACGUUUAUUGGGCCUAAAGCAUCCGUAGCUGGCUGAACAAGUCCCCUGUUAAACCCACCGAUUUAAUCGUUGGCUUGCGGGGGAWACUGCUCGGCUAGGGGACGRGAGAGGCAGACGGUAUUCCCGGGGUAGGGGUGAAAUCCUAUAAUCCCGGGAAGACCACCAGUGGCGAAGGCUGUCUGCUAGAACGCGVCCGACGGNGAGGGAUGAAAGCUGGGGGAGCGAACCGGAUUAGAUACCCGGGUAGUCCCAGCUGUAAACGAUGCAGRCUAGGUGUUUGGACGGCCACGUGCCGUUCUAGUGCCGCAGGGAAGCUGUUAAG